AGAGGAAGGAAGAGGUGAAUGGAAAAAGUGUGGCAACUUACUUGGCUCUCUUAUCCUGCAGUAGGUGAGUCCUCUGCAUGGGAUCUUUGAGGGCUGAGAGCGCUUUUCUGUUAAAGGAACGUCUGCAAAAAACAAGAGAAAUACAUUUGAACAGUCCCAAGGGGAGGUAAUUUCAGAGUAGACACCUAUUUCUCCACCAGAAGCAAAGCAGAUCCCAGAUCCUAAAAUCAGGCUUGAGGAAGCAAGAGGAAGCAUCCAGGAACCCCAAAGCAGGCAGUGGAUUACCCAUUGGCUCUGGGUAAAGCCAAGAGGGUUUAGAGAGGGAUUUGCACUGUUUUGAGAAGCUUGCAGCUUCCUGAUUCAACUCCUCUCCAAGGAAAGAGGCUCAGUAGACCAACCAAGCCACUUUUCCUCUCUUAAGGGAUGAAGACCAAAGAUGCAACUUGCCCAGCUGUCUGUUAUGAACUAAAUUGCAUCCCCGCAAAAUUCAUAUGUUGAAGUCCUAACACCUUGUACCUCAGAAUUUGACUGUAUUUGGAGACAGGGUCUUUACAGAGGUAAUUAAUGUGACAUGAGGUCAUGAGAGUGAGCCCUAAUCCAUUAUGAGGGGCAUUUAUAAAAGGAGGAGAUUAGGACACAGACAAGAAUGCACGGAGAAAAGACCAUGUGACGACUGAGGGAGGGUGUGGCCAUCUACAAGUCAAGGAGAGAGACAUCAGAAGAAACAAUCCUCACAACGCCUUGAUUUUGGAGUCUAGCCUCCAGAGCAGUAAGAAAACAAACGGUCAUCCAGGAUGUGGUCAUUUGUUAUGGCAGCCCUCGAAAACCAACACACAGUAGAACAACACCAGAGGCAAAUCAGAAAGAAAAUGAGAUGCAGACUCCAGCAGCCUGGUCUCCCAGUCAGGACACAAGCCAGACCUGGACGGAAGUGGUCACAGCACUUCUAGCUCCAAAAUAGCCACUGGGCGGAGGCUCCUAGUUCCUCCUCCCUCCAACUCCAUGCAGCCUGCUCUGUCCCCGUCUUCUCAGGCUCACUCAGUGCAGUGUCUGCCUGCAUCCCUCUAUCAGGGGCCUUCCUCUGCCCACAGAGGGAGUUAUAUACAAGCCCGAGGAAUGAGGAAGAGAAGACAAAAGCAAGAUGGAGCCUCACUGUCUGAUUUUCCCAGACGUUCCCAGGAGGACCUGGUUAUGCAAGGCGGUCUGCAUUUUCAUCCUCACAGCCACCCUUGCAGGUGGGAAUGACCCUCCCUUCCUAAAGAUGAGAAAACCUGAACUGGGAGUGGUGGCUCGCACCUGUAAUCCCAGGGACUCAGGAUGCUGAAGCAGGAGGAUCGCUUGAGCCCAAAAGUUUGACACUGCAGUGAGCUAUGAUCCCACCACUGCACUUUAGCGUAGGUGACAAAGUGAGACCCUAUCUCUAAAAAAAAAUAAAUAAAUAAAAAUAAAAAUAAAAGAUGA